rnacentral:tRNA from 1 species
UCGCGGGUCGUCCAAUGGCAGGACAGCGGUCUUUGGAGCCGCUGAUCAAGGUUCGAGUCCUUGCCCGCGAGCCA